GUCACUUCCUGCUGCUGAGGGAAUCAGAGGCUCUCCAGGCAUCAGCUUCACAGAGAGAAUCUUGAUGCCCAACAAGGACAGCAUUUUCAGAGAUGUACCCUUACAAGGGGUCCCCAUACAAGAUUGAAAUGAUAAAGAACUGAAGAUCCAAAGCCAGAGAAUGAUAAAGUAACUUCAACCUGACACAGUAAAACAUUGCAGGGAGAGUCCGGGAUCUGGAAUGAGAAUGCCACGUCCAGGCUGUGUUACCUUACAAAAAUUAUUAAUGCUUCAGUGGCCUCAUCUGCAGAAUGGAAAUACCAAUAAUAGUAGCUAUCUGAUAAGGUUAUUGUGGGGAUAGUAGGAGACAAUCCAUAAUAAUGUUUGAGUAGUAGCUGGCACAUUGUAGAUACUCAACAUACGCCAGCUAUUAUUGUUAUAGAAAAUAUGCAGAUCUGGAAUAGCUUGGAAAAUGUUUAUGAUACAAUAACAAAUUCAAAAGAAGUCUACUAAAUACUGUGUAUUUUAUGAUUGCAAUUUUGUAAAAACUAUAUCUGCUUAUGGAAAAAGAUUUGAAGAAAAUAUGCUUAUGUGAAAAGAAUUUCUUACAGUGAUGGGAUUACGUGUAGCUUUAUUUAUUUAUUUGAGACCAGGUCUCACUCUGUUGCCCAGGCUGCAAUACAGUGGUGUGACACCAGCUCCCUGAAACUCCUGGGCUCAAGUGAUCCUCCUGCCUCAGCCUCUUGAAUAACUGGGACUACAGGCAUGUGCCACCAUGCCCGGCUAAUAUUUAAUUUUUUUGUGGAGACAGAGUCUCCCUAUGCUGCCAUGCUGGUCUUGAACUCCUGGGCUCAAGCGAUCCUCCAG
rnacentral:lncRNA from 1 species